GCCCCUUAUGACUUGGGCUACACACGUGCUACAAUGGAUGGUACAAAGGGCUGCAAACCUGCGAAGGUAAGCGAAUCCCAUAAAGCCAUUCUCAGUUCGGAUUGCAGGCUGCAACUCGCCUGCAUGAAGCCGGAAUCGCUAGUAAUCGCGGAUCAGCAUGCCGCGGUGAAUACGUUCCCGGGCCUUGUACACACCGCCCGUCACACCACGAGAGUUUGUAACACCCGAAGUCGGUGAGGUAACCUUCAUGGAGCCAGCCGCCUUA
rnacentral:rRNA from 1 species